rnacentral:rRNA from 1 species
UUAAGCGACUAAGCGUACACGGUGGAUGCCCUGGCAGUCAGAGGCGAUGAAGGGCGUGCUAAUCUGCGAUAAGCGCCGGUAAGGUGAUAUGAACCGUUAUAACCGGCGAUACCCGAAUGGGGAAACCCAGUGUGACUCGUCACACUAUCAUUAACUGAAUCCAUAGGUUAAUGAGGCGAACCGGGGGAACUGAAACAUCUAAGUACCCCGAGGAAAAGAAAUCAACCGAGAUUCCCCCAGUAGCGGCGAGCGAACGGGGAGGAGCCCAGAGCCUGAAUCAGCAUGUGUGUUAGUGGAAGCGUCUGGAAAGGCGCGCGAUACAGGGUGACAGCCCCGUACACAAAAGCGCAUGUGCUGUGAGCUCGAUGAGUAGGGCGGGACACGUGGUAUCCUGUCUGAAUAUGGGGGGACCAUCCUCCAAGGCUAAAUACUCCUGACUGACCGAUAGUGAACCAGUACCGUGAGGGAAAGGCGAAAAGAACCCCGGCGAGGGGAGUGAAAAAGAACCUGAAACCGUGUACGUACAAGCAGUGGGAGCACAGGUUUACCUGUGUGACUGCGUACCUUUUGUAUAAUGGGUCAGCGACUUAUAUUCUGUAGCAAGGUUAACCGAAUAGGGGAGCCGGAGGGAAACCGAGUCUUAACUGGGCGUUAAGUUGCAGGGUAUAGACCCGAAACCCGGUGAUCUAGCCAUGGGCAGGUUGAAGGUUGGGUAACACUAACUGGAGGACCGAACCGACUAAUGUUGAAAAAUUAGCGGAUGACCUGUGGCUGGGGGUGAAAGGCCAAUCAAACCGGGAGAUAGCUGGUUCUCCCCGAAAGCUAUUUAGGUAGCGCCUCGUGAACUCAUCUCCGGGGGUAGAGCACUGUUUCGGCUAGGGGGCCAUCCCGGCUUACCAACCCGAUGCAAACUGCGAAUACCGGAGAAUGUUAUCACGGGAGACACACGGCGGGUGCUAACGUCCGUCGUGAAGAGGGAAACAACCCAGACCGCCAGCUAAGGUCCCAAAGUCAUGGUUAAGUGGGAAACGAUGUGGGAAGGCCCAGACAGCCAGGAUGUUGGCUUAGAAGCAGCCAUCAUUUAAAGAAAGCGUAAUAGCUCACUGGUCGAGUCGGCCUGCGCGGAAGAUGUAACGGGGCUAAACCAUGCACCGAAGCUGCGGCAGCGACACUGUGUGUUGUUGGGUAGGGGAGCGUUCUGUAAGCCUGCGAAGGUGGCCUGUGAGGGUUGCUGGAGGUAUCAGAAGUGCGAAUGCUGACAUAAGUAACGAUAAAGCGGGUGAAAAGCCCGCUCGCCGGAAGACCAAGGGUUCCUGUCCAACGUUAAUCGGGGCAGGGUGAGUCGACCCCUAAGGCGAGGCCGAAAGGCGUAGUCGAUGGGAAACGGGUUAAUAUUCCCGUACUUGGUGUUACUGCGAAGGGGGGACGGAGAAGGCUAUGUUGGCCGGGCGACGGUUGUCCCGGUUUAAGCGUGUAGGUGUGUGUUCCAGGUAAAUCCGGUUCACUUUAACACUGAGGCGUGACGACGAGGCACUACGGUGCUGAAGCAACAAAUGCCCUGCUUCCAGGAAAAGCCUCUAAGCAUCAGGUAACAUCAAAUCGUACCCCAAACCGACACAGGUGGUCAGGUAGAGAAUACCAAGGCGCUUGAGAGAACUCGGGUGAAGGAACUAGGCAAAAUGGUGCCGUAACUUCGGGAGAAGGCACGCUGACACGUAGGUGAAGUGAUUUACUCAUGGAGCUGAAGUCAGUCGAAGAUACCAGCUGGCUGCAACUGUUUAUUAAAAACACAGCACUGUGCAAACACGAAAGUGGACGUAUACGGUGUGACGCCUGCCCGGUGCCGGAAGGUUAAUUGAUGGGGUCAGCGCAAGCGAAGCUCCUGAUCGAAGCCCCGGUAAACGGCGGCCGUAACUAUAACGGUCCUAAGGUAGCGAAAUUCCUUGUCGGGUAAGUUCCGACCUGCACGAAUGGCGUAAUGAUGGCCAGGCUGUCUCCACCCGAGACUCAGUGAAAUUGAACUCGCUGUGAAGAUGCAGUGUACCCGCGGCAAGACGGAAAGACCCCGUGAACCUUUACUAUAGCUUGACACUGAACAUUGAGCCUUGAUGUGUAGGAUAGGUGGGAGGCUUUGAAGUGUGGACGCCAGUCUGCAUGGAGCCGACCUUGAAAUACCACCCUUUAAUGUUUGAUGUUCUAACGUGGACCCGUUACCCGGGUUGCGGACAGUGUCUGGUGGGUAGUUUGACUGGGGCGGUCUCCUCCUAAAGAGUAACGGAGGAGCACGAAGGUUGGCUAAUCCUGGUCGGACAUCAGGAGGUUAGUGCAAUGGCAUAAGCCAGCUUGACUGCGAGCGUGACGGCGCGAGCAGGUGCGAAAGCAGGUCAUAGUGAUCCGGUGGUUCUGAAUGGAAGGGCCAUCGCUCAACGGAUAAAAGGUACUCCGGGGAUAACAGGCUGAUACCGCCCAAGAGUUCAUAUCGACGGCGGUGUUUGGCACCUCGAUGUCGGCUCAUCACAUCCUGGGGCUGAAGUAGGUCCCAAGGGUAUGGCUGUUCGCCAUUUAAAGUGGUACGCGAGCUGGGUUUAGAACGUCGUGAGACAGUUCGGUCCCUAUCUGCCGUGGGCGCUGGAGAACUGAGGGGGGCUGCUCCUAGUACGAGAGGACCGGAGUGGACGCAUCACUGGUGUUCGGGUUGUCAUGCCAAUGGCACUGCCCGGUAGCUAAAUGCGGAAGAGAUAAGUGCUGAAAGCAUCUAAGCACGAAACUUGCCCCGAGAUGAGUUCUCCCUGAGACUUAGAGUCUCCUGAAGGAACGUUGAAGACGACGACGUUGAUAGGCCGGGUGUGUAAGCGCAGCGAUGCGUUGAGCUAACCGGUACUAAUGAACCGUGAGGCUUAACCUU